UACGGAGGAUGCAAGCGUUAUCCGGAAUUAUUGGGCGUAAAGCGUCCGCAGGUGGCAAUUCAAGUCUGCUGUUAAAGGUUCUGGCUCAACCAGAGACAGGCAGUGGAAACUGAAUAGCUAGAGUGCGGUAGGGGCAGAGGGAAUUCCCAGUGUAGCGGUGAAAUGCGUAGAGAUUGGGAAGAACACCGGUGGCGAAAGCGCUCUGCUAGGCCGUAACUGACACUCAUGGACGAAAGCUAGGGGAGCGAAUGGG
rnacentral:rRNA from 1 species